rnacentral:misc_RNA from 1 species
AACACUGUUAACCUGCGGUACCUGCGGAAGGAUCAUUACCGAGUGCGGGCUGCCUCCGGGCGCCCAACCUCCCACCCGUGACUACCUAACACUGUUGCUUCGGCGGGGAGCCCCCCAGGGGCGAGCCGCCGGGGACCACUGAACUUCAUGCCUGAGAGUGAUGCAGUCUGAGCCUGAAUACAAAUCAGUCAAAACUUUCAACAAUGGAUCU